ensembl:snRNA
GUGUUGUAUGAAAAGAGAGGUUAGCACUCCCCUUGACAGGGAUGUAAGAAGCCCUUUGGCCUAACAACACACAUACGGGUUAAGGCAUUUAUAUGUGAAUUUUAAGUAAGCUCUCUGACUUUC